CCUACGGGAGGCAGCAGUGGGGAAUAUUGGACAAUGGGGGGAACCCUGAUCCAGCCAUGCCGCGUGUGUGAAGUAGGCCCUCGGGUUGUAAAGCACUUUCAGUGAGGAAGAACGCCUGGUGGUUAAUACCCAUCAGGAAAGACAUCACUCACAGAAGAAGCACCGGCUAACUCCGUGCCAGCAGCCGCGGUAAUACGGAGGGUGCGAGCGUUAAUCGGAAUUACUGGGCGUAAAGCGCGCGUAGGUGGCUUGAUAAGCCGGUUGUGAAAGCCCCGGGCUCAACCUGGGAACGGCAUCCGGAACUGUCAAGCUAGAGUGCAGGAGAGGAAGGUAGAAUUCCCGGUGUAGCGGUGAAAUGCGUAGAGAUCGGGAGGAAUACCAGUGGCGAAGGCGGCCUUCUGGACUGACACUGACACUGAGGUGCGAAAGCGUGGGUAGCAAACAGGAUUAGAUACCCGAGUAGUC
rnacentral:rRNA from 1 species